UGUUUUGUGGCUUAGUUGGGUAAAACGCCGGACUAGCGAUAUGGAGUCGUGGGUUCGAGUCCCAUCAAAGCAA
rnacentral:tRNA from 1 species